GUAUCCACGCUGUUAGUGUGCAUUUGAUUCUCGGAUAGCUUCUAAAGCUGUUGCGAUUCGUAUCCACGCUGUUAGUACGCAUUUGAUAUGCGGAUAGCUUAGGAGCUGUAGUUUAUUUGUAUCGCCGCAGUUGGUUGGCCGUGGAUACCCAGGAUAGUGUAGAAUGUAUUUACGCUCGUGUUGGGAUGCCGAGCUUAUUUUUACAGCAGUGUUUAGGCUGUUUCGGACUGUCGGAUGCCGUUGAGGUUAUCGGUAGA
rnacentral:lncRNA from 1 species